UGAGACCCAUUGGUGUUUAAUGAACCUUAUUGGCCUGUGCAAUAGGAACUGGCUACACAGUUCUUUCAAAAUGAUUUAUUGAAUAUUGAUUUAUUGGAUGGACUGCAAGAGACAUGGAAAAAAGGAAGAACUGACAAGCAGAAUAUGAAAUAAAAGGGAACAUAGCUUCUGCAGCUUCACCCUGUUCCAGACGGAGCAUGGAAAUGAAGAAAACAAUGCCACAUGCCACCCCAU
rnacentral:lncRNA from 1 species